AGACAAUAGAUACCCCGGUAGUCCUAGCAGUAAACGGUGCACGUUUGGUGUAGGAGGAUUCGACCCCUUCCUGUGCCGGAGCUAAACGCGUUAAACGUGCCGCCUGGGAAGUACGAUCGCAAGAUUAAAACUACAAAGAAAAUUGACGGGGGCCCGGCACAAGCGGUGGAGUAUGUGGCUUAAUUCGAUGCAACGCGAAGAACCUUACCCAGGGUUUGACAUGUAUUGUGUCGGCGAUGAAAGUCGCCUAGCUGUAGCAAUACAGCGCUUUACACAGGUGCUGCAUGGCUGUCGUCAGCUCGUGUCGUGAGAUGUUGGGUUUAAACGUUCCCGCAACCGAGCGCAACCCCCGUAUGUUCUGUUGCCACCGGGCGCAAGCCGAGCACUCUGAACAGACCGCCCUGUGAAACCGGGGUAGGAAGGUGGGGAUGACGUCAAGUCAGCAUGG
rnacentral:rRNA from 1 species